rnacentral:siRNA from 1 species
UAUGAUGGUUUUUCAAGUGGCUA